CCUACGGGAGGCAGCAGUAGGGAAUCUUCCACAAUGGGCGAAAGCCUGAUGGAGCAACGCCGCGUGGGUGAAGAAGGUCUUCGGAUCGUAAAACCCUGUUGUUAGAGAAGAAAGUGCGUGAGAGUAACUGUUCACGUUUCGACGGUAUCUAACCAGAAAGCCACGGCUAAAUACGUGCCAGCAGCCGCGGUAAUACGUAGGUGGCAAGCGUUACCCGGAUUUGUUGGGCGUAAAGGGAACGCAGGCGGUCUUUUAAGUCUGAUGUGAAAGCCGUCGGCUUAACCGGAGUAGUGCAUUGGAGAAUGGGAGACUUGAGUGCAGAAGAGGAGAGUGGAACUCCAUGUGUAGCGGUGAAAUGCGGAGAUAUAUGGAAGAACACCAGUGGCGAAAGCGGCGCUCUGGUCUGUAACUGACGCUGAGGUUCGAAAGCGUGGGUAGCAAACAGGAUUAGAUACCCCUGUAGUC
rnacentral:rRNA from 1 species